UACGGAGGGUGCAAGCGUUAUUCGGAUUUAUUGGGCGUAAAGGGCGUGUAGGUGGUCUGAUAAGUCAGGUGUGAAAGCCCCUGGCUCAACCAGGGAAGUGCACUUGAAACUAUCAGACUUGAGUACGGGAGGGGGAAGUGGAAUUCCUGGUGUAGAGGUGAAAUUCGUAGAUAUCAGGAGGAAUACCGGUGGCGAAGGCGACUUCCUGGACCGAUACUGACACUGAGACGCGAAAGCGUGGGGAGCAAAC
rnacentral:rRNA from 1 species